UACGAAGGGGGCUAGCGUUGCUCGGAAUCACUGGGCGUAAAGCGCACGUAGGCGGCUUUUUAAGUCAGGGGUGAAAUCCUGGAGCUCAACUCCAGAACUGCCUUUGAUACUGAGAAGCUCGAGUCCGGGAGAGGUGAGUGGAACUGCGAGUGUAGAGGUGAAAUUCGUAGAUAUUCGCAAGAACACCAGUGGCGAAGGCGGCUCACUGGCCUGGUACUGACGCUGAGGUGCGAAAGCGUGGGGAGCAAACAGG
rnacentral:rRNA from 1 species